rnacentral:lncRNA from 1 species
GUACUAGAUUUCAUCUUCGAAGGUCACAGAGAAAACAAUAAAAUCCAGUAAGCAUAUCCGCUUGUCAAUGUAAACAUAUAUAAUGUAAACAUAUCCGAGUAAUUGCUGGGUUUUUGACAAAGGAAUCGCCUGUGGGUUUUGACGAUUUUAGUAUCAAAUUGCAGUAGGGUUUUUGACGAUUUUGAAAUCGCAGGAGGGUUUUGGGUUUUUGACAGAGGAAUUGUGUGUGGGUUGUGACAAUUUUAGUAUCAAAUUGCAGCAAGGGUUUUGACGAUUCAGGAGAGUUUUGGGUUUUUGACAGAGGAAUCUGUUAGGAAGUUUGCCUGAAAGGAUAGUUAGAGUAGUUAAUUGAUGAUUAAUUGUUGUUAGUUACUUAAGGCUAUUUUAGUCUUAACAUUUGGUACAAUAAGGACUUGUUAGUCUUUAUCUUUCUAAGUCUGUUAGCUAGCAG